GGGAAUCGGAACACAGGUGCUGCAUGGCUGUCGUCAGCUCGUGUCGUGAGAUGUUGGGUUAAGUCCCGCAACGAGCGCAACCCUUGUCAUUAGUUGCUACGAAAGGGCACUCUAAUGAGACUGCCGGUGACAAACCGGAGGAAGUGGGGAUGACGUCAAGUCCUCAUGGCCCUUAUAGGUGGGGCUACACACGUCAUACAAUGGCUGGUACAAAGGGUUGCCAACCCGCGAGGGGGAGCCAAUCCCAUAAAGCCAGUCGUAGUCCGGAUCGCAGUCUGCAACUCGACUGCGUGAAGUCGGAAUCGCUAGUAAUCGUGGAUCAGCAUGUCACGGUGAAUACGUUCCCGGGUCUU
rnacentral:rRNA from 1 species